rnacentral:rRNA from 1 species
AACGAACGCUGGCGGCAGGCCUAACACAUGCAAGUCGAGCGAGGACUUCGGUUCUAGCGGCGGACGGGUGAGUAACGCGUGGGAAUGUGCCCUUCUCUACGGAAUAGCCCUGGGAAACUGGGAGUAAUACCGUAUACGCCCUAUUGGGGAAAGAUUUAUCGGAGAAGGAUCAGCCCGCGUUGGAUUAGGUAGUUGGUGGGGUAAUGGCCUACCGAGCCGACGAUCCAUAGCUGGUUUGAGAGGAUGAUCAGCCACACUGGGACUGAGACACGGCCCAGACUCCUACGGGAGGCAGCAGUGGGGAAUCUUAGACAAUGGGGGCAACCCUGAUCUAGCCAUGCCGCGUGAGUGAUGAAGGCCUUAGGGUUGUAAAGCUCUUUCAGCUGGGAAGAUAAUGACGGUACCAGCAGAAGAAGCCCCGGCUAACUCCGUG